GAUGAACGCUAGCGGGAGGCCUAACACAUGCAAGCCGAGCGGUAGAGAUCUUUCGGGAUCUUGAGAGCGGCGUACGGGUGCGGAACACGUGUGCAACCUGCCUUUAUCUGGGGGAUAGCCUUUCGAAAGGAAGAUUAAUACCCCAUAAUAUGUUGGAUGGCAUCAUUCGACAUUGAAAACUCCGGUGGAUAGAGAUGGGCACGCGCAAGAUUAGAUAGUUGGUGAGGUAACGGCUCACCAAGUCUGCGAUCUUUAGGGGGCCUGAGAGGGUGAUCCCCCACACUGGUACUGAGACACGGACCACACUCCUACGGGAGGCAGCAGUGAGGAAUAUUGGACAAUGGGUGAGAGCCUGAUCCAGCCAUCCCGCGUGAAGGACGACGGCCCUAUGGGUUGUAAACUUCUUUUGUAUAGGGAUAAACCUACUCUCGUGAGAGUAGCUGAAGGUACUAUACGAAUAAGCACCGGCUAACUCCGUGCCAGCAGCCGCGGUAAUACGGAGGGUGCAAGCGUUACCCGGAUUUAUUGGGUUUAAAGGGUCCGUAGGCGGAUCUGUAAGUCAGUGGUGAAAUCUCACAGCUUAACUGUGAAACUGCCAUUGAUACUGCAGGUCUUGAGUGUUGUUGAAGUAGCUGGAAUAAGUAGUGUAGCGGUGAAAUGCAUAGAUAUUACUUAGAACACCAAUUGCGAAGGCAGGUUACUAAGCAACAACUGACGCUGAUGGACGAAAGCGUGGGGAGCGAACAGGAUUAGAUACCCUGGUAGUCCACGCCGUAAACGAUGCUAACUCGUUUUUGGGCUUUCGGGUUCAGAGACUAAGCGAAAGUGAUAAGUUAGCCACCUGGGGAGUACGAACGCAAGUUUGAAACUCAAAGGAAUUGACGGGGGCCCGCACAAGCGGUGGAUUAUGUGGUUUAAUUCGAUGAUACGCGAGGAACCUUACCAAGGCUUAAAUGGGAAAUGACAGGUUUAGAAAUAGACUUUUCUUCGGACAUUUUUCAAGGUGCUGCAUGGUUGUCGUCAGCUCGUGCCGUGAGGUGUUAGGUUAAGUCCUGCAACGAGCGCAACCCCUGUCACUAGUUGCCAUCAUUAAGUUGGGGACUCUAGUGAGACUGCCUACGCAAGUAGAGAGGAAGGUGGGGAUGACGUCAAAUCAUCACGGCCCUUACGCCUUGGGCCACACACGUAAUACAAUGGCCGGUACAGAGGGCAGCUACACAGCGAUGUGAUGCAAAUCUCGAAAGCCGGUCUCAGUUCGGAUUGGAGUCUGCAACUCGACUCUAUGAAGCUGGAAUCGCUAGUAAUCGCGCAUCAGCCAUGGCGCGGUGAAUACGUUCCCGGGCCU
rnacentral:rRNA from 1 species